GCGUCGGUUAGUGCAAGGGCUAGAGUACGGGCCCCUGAUACGGGUUGAAAUGUAGGUUCGAGUCCCACCUGACGCA